ACCCGCUGAAUUUAAGCAUAUCAAUAAGCGGAGGAAAAGAAACUGACAAGGAUUCCCCUAGUAACUGCGAGUGAAGCGGGAAAAGCUCAAAUUUAAAAUCUGGUGGUCUUUGGCCAUCCGAGUUGUAAUCUAGAGAAGUGUUACCCGCGCUGGACCGUGUACAAGUCCCCUGGAAUGGGGCGUCAUAGAGGGUGAGAAUCCCGUCUUUGACACGGACUACCAGGGCUUUGUGAUGCACUCUCAAAGAGUCGAGUUGUUUGGGAAUGCAGCUCAAAAUGGGUGGUAAAUUCCAUCUAAAGCUAAAUAUUGGCGAGAGACCGAUAGCGAACAAGUACCGUGAGGGAAAGAUGAAAAGAACUUUGGAAAGAGAGUUAAACAGUACGUGAAAUUGUUGAAAGGGAAGCGCUUGCAACCAGACUUGCACGCAGUUGAUCAUCUGGUGUUCUCACCGGGGCACUCUGCUGCGUUCAGGCCAGCAUCGUUUUUGGUGGUUGGAUAAAGGCCUUGGGAAUGUAGCUUCUUUCGGGGAGUGUUAUAGCCCUCGGUGCAAUGCAGCCUACCGGGAACGAGGACCGCGCUUCGGCUAGGAUGCUGGCGUAAUGGUUGUAAGCGGCCCGUCUUGAAACACGGACCAAGGAG
rnacentral:rRNA from 1 species